AACGAACGCUGGCGGCGUGCCUAACACAUGCAAGUCGAGCGGGAAAGUUCCCUUCGGGGAGCGAGUACAGCGGCGAACGGGUGAGUAACACGUAGGCAACCUACCCCGGAGACCGGGAUAACCUGUCGAAAGGCGGGCUAAUACCGGAUAAGACCACGAGGGCCUCGGCCCUUGAGGUAAAAGGUGGCCUCUGCUUGCAAGCUAUCACUCCAGGAUGGGCCUGCGCGCCAUUAGCUAGUUGGUGAGGUAACGGCUCACCAAGGCGAAGAUGGCUAGCUGGUCUGAGAGGAUGGCCAGCCACACUGGGACUGAGAUACGGCCCAGACUCC
rnacentral:rRNA from 1 species